rnacentral:rRNA from 1 species
UACGUAGGGUGCAAGCGUUAAUCGGAAUUACUGGGCGUAAAGCGUGCGCAGGCGGUUUUGUAAGUCUGUCGUGAAAUCCCCCGGGCUCAACCUGGGAAUUGCGAUGGAGACUGCAAGGCUAGAAUCUGGCAGAGGGGGGUAGAAUUCCACGUGUAGCAGUGAAAUGCGUAGAGAUGUGGAGGAACACCGAUGGCGAAGGCAGCCCCCUGGGUCAAGAUUGACGCUCAUGCACGAAAGCGUGGGGAGCAAACGAA